CCUACGGGUGGCAGCAGUGAGGAAUAUUGGUCAAUGGCCGGAAGGCUGAACCAGCCAAGCCGCGUGAAGGACGAAGGUGCCAAGCAUUGUAAACUUCUUUUGUCAAGGGACAAAAUCAGACUCGAGAGCCUGACCGAGUGUACUUGAAGAAAAAGCAUCGGCUAACUCCGUGCCAGCAGCCGAGGUACUACGAAGGCUGCGAGCGUUAUCCGGAUUUAUUGGGUUUAACGGGUACCUCGUGGGACUGUUACGUCAGCGGUAAAAGCCCGUGGCUCAACCCCGGCGAGCCGUUGAAACUGGCUGGCUUGAGAUGUCGAGAGGUAGGCGGAAUGCGCAGUGUAGCGGUGAAAUGCUUAGAGAUUGCGAAGAACUCCGAUUGCGAAGGCAGCAUACCGGCGGCGAUCUGACGCUGAGGCACGAAAGCGUGGGUAUCGAACAGGAUUAGAUACCCUGGUAGUC
rnacentral:rRNA from 1 species